GGCUGAAACUCGCCUACAUGAAGCUGGAAUUGCUAGUAAUCACAGGUCAGCAUACUGUGGUGAAUACGUUCCCGGGCCUUGUACACACCGCCCGUCACACCAUGAGAGUUGAGAAUACCCGAAGCCCAUGUCAAAGUGGUCGAAGGUAGGCUUGAUGAUUGGGGUGAAGUCGUAACAAGGUACC
rnacentral:rRNA from 1 species